UUUUUUUAAAAAUAGGGAAACACCUCAACUCUUUGUUAUUCCUUGCGAUGUUUUUAUUUUGGAGCAUGGUUUUGUGAUUUUUCAUCUCCAUUAUCUGCAAUCUUUUAGAUUUUUAAUAAAUUGUUUUAUUAUUUCACCUAUAUUUUGCUAUUGAAUGAUUAAAGACACCAAACUGUACAGACAAAAAGUAUAAGCUGCAACUAGGACUAGGAAGUAGUCAUAUUGAAAAUCAGUAUGUCAGACAUUUGUGCUCAUUAAAAUAAACCUUCUUUCAAUUAUUCAUCAACUGAUUCAUAGCCAGAAAUAGGUAGGUAAAAAAAAAAAUUCUUUUUUUAAAUAAAAAUUAAAUCUCACUUAAU